rnacentral:rRNA from 1 species
GUGGGGAAUAUUGGACAAUGGGCGAAAGCCUGAUCCAGCCAUGCCGCGUGUGUGAAGAAGGUCUUCGGAUUGUAAAGCACUUUAAGUUGGGAGGAAGGGCAGUAAGUUAAUACCUUGCUGUUUUGACGUUACCGACGGAAUAAGCACCGGCUAACUUCGUGCCAGCAGCCGCGGUAAUACGAAGGGUGCAAGCGUUAAUCGGAAUUACUGGGCGUAAAGCGCGCGUAGGUGGUUUUGUAAGUUGGAGGUGAAAUCCCCGGGCUCAACCUGGGAACUGCCUCCAAAACUGCAUGACUAGAGUACGGUAGAGGGUAGUGGAAUUUCCUGUGUAGCGGUGAAAUGCGUAGAUAUAGGAAGGAACACCAGUGGCGAAGGCGACUACCUGGACUGAUACUGACACUGAGGUGCGAAAGCGUGGGGAGCAAACAGGAUUAGAUACCCCAGUAGUCC